CAAGGAUGGAAGAGGCCCUUGGGCCUAACAACACGCAUACGGUUAAGGCAUUGCCACCUACUUCAUGGCAUCUAACCACUGUUUUUG
ensembl:snRNA